rnacentral:rRNA from 2 species
GACGAACGCUGGCGGCGUGCCAUAAUACAUGCAAGUCGAACGAACUCUGGUAUUGAUUGGUGCUUGCAUCAUGAUUUACAUUUGAGUGAGUGGCGAACUGGUGAGUAACACGUGGGAAACCUGCCCAGAAGCGGGGGAUAACACCUGGAAACAGAUGCUAAUACCGCAUAACAACUUGGACCGCAUGGUCCGAGUUUGAAAGAUGGCUUCGGCUAUCACUUUUGGAUGGUCCCGCGGCGUAUUAGCUAGAUGGUGGGGUAACGGCUCACCAUGGCAAUGAUACGUAGCCGACCUGAGAGGGUAAUCGGCCACAUUGGGACUGAGACACGGCCCAAACUCCUACGGGAGGCAGCAGUAGGGAAUCUUCCACAAUGGACGAAAGUCUGAUGGAGCAACGCCGCGUGAGUGAAGAAGGGUUUCGGCUCGUAAAACUCUGUUGUUAAAGAAGAACAUAUCUGAGAGUAACUGUUCAGGUAUUGACGGUAUUUAACCAGAAAGCCACGGCUAACUACGUGCCAGCAGCCGCGGUAAUACGUAGGUGGCAAGCGUUGUCCGGAUUUAUUGGGCGUAAAGCGAGCGCAGGCGGUUUUUUAAGUCUGAUGUGAAAGCCUUCGGCUCAACCGAAGAAGUGCAUCGGAAACUGGGAAACUUGAGUGCAGAAGAGGACAGUGGAACUCCAUGUGUAGCGGUGAAAUGCGUAGAUAUAUGGAAGAACACCAGUGGCGAAGGCGGCUGUCUGGUCUGUAACUGACGCUGAGGCUCGAAAGUAUGGGUAGCAAACAGGAUUAGAUACCCUGGUAGUCCAUACCGUAAACGAUGAAUGCUAAGUGUUGGAGGGUUUCCGCCCUUCAGUGCUGCAGCUAACGCAUUAAGCAUUCCGCCUGGGGAGUACGGCCGCAAGGCUGAAACUCAAAGGAAUUGACGGGGGCCCGCACAAGCGGUGGAGCAUGUGGUUUAAUUCGAAGCUACGCGAAGAACCUUACCAGGUCUUGACAUACUAUGCAAAUCUAAGAGAUUAGACGUUCCCUUCGGGGACAUGGAUACAGGUGGUGCAUGGUUGUCGUCAGCUCGUGUCGUGAGAUGUUGGGUUAAGUCCCGCAACGAGCGCAACCCUUAUUAUCAGUUGCCAGCAUUAAGUUGGGCACUCUGGUGAGACUGCCGGUGACAAACCGGAGGAAGGUGGGGAUGACGUCAAAUCAUCAUGCCCCUUAUGACCUGGGCUACACACGUGCUACAAUGGAUGGUACAACGAGUUGCGAACUCGCGAGAGUAAGCUAAUCUCUUAAAGCCAUUCUCAGUUCGGAUUGUAGGCUGCAACUCGCCUACAUGAAGUCGGAAUCGCUAGUAAUCGCGGAUCAGCAUGCCGCGGUGAAUACGUUCCCGGGCCUUGUACACACCGCCCGUCACACCAUGAGAGUUUGUAACACCCAAAGUCGGUGGGGUAACCUUUUAGGAACCAGCCGCCUAAGGUGGGACAGAUGAUUAGGGUG